rnacentral:rRNA from 1 species
UACGGGGGGGGGCAAGCGUUGUUCGGAAUUACUGGGCGUAAAGCGCACGUAGGCGGAUAUUUAAGUCAGGGGUGAAAUCCCAGAGCUCAACUCUGGAACUGCCUUUGAUACUGGGUAUCUUGAGUAUGGAAGAGGUAAGUGGAAUUGCGAGUGUAGAGGUGAAAUUCGUAGAUAUUCGCAGGAACACCAGUGGCGAAGGCGGCUUACUGGUCCAUAACUGACGCUGAGGUGCGAAAGCGUGGGGAGCAAACAGG